rnacentral:rRNA from 1 species
UACGAAGGGGGCUAGCGUUGUUCGGAAUCACUGGGCGUAAAGCGCACGUAGGCGGAUUUUUAAGUCAGGGGUGAAAUCCCGAGGCUCAACCUCGGAACUGCCUUUGAUACUGGAGAUCUUGAGUCCGGAAGAGGUAAGUGGAACUGCGAGUGUAGAGGUGAAAUUCGUAGAUAUUCGCAAGAACACCAGUGGCGAAGGCGGCUCUCUGGACCGAUACUGACGCUGAGGCGCGAAAGCGUGGGGAGCAAACAGG